rnacentral:rRNA from 1 species
CCUACGGGUGGCAGCAGUGAGGAAUAUUGGUCAAUGGGCGCGAGCCUGAACCAGCCAAGUCGCGUGAAGGAUGAAUGCACUGCGGGUUGUAAACUUCUUUUAUAAGGGAAUAAAGUGAGCCACGUGUGCCUUUUUGUAUGUACUUUAUGAAUAAGCAUCGGCUAACUCCGUGCCAGCAGCCGCGGUAAUACGGAGGAUCCGAGCGUUAUCCGGAUUUAUUGGGUUUAAAGGGAGCGUAGGUGGGUUGUUAAGUCAGUUGUUAAAGUUUGCGGCUCAACCGUAAAAGGGCAAUUGAAACUGGCGUGCUUGAGUAGAGGAGAGGUAGGCGGAAUUCGUGGUGUAGCGGUGAAAUGCAUAGAUAUCACGAAGAACUCCGAUUGCGAAGGCAGCAUACUAAACGGCCACUGACACUGAGGCACGAAAGUGUGGGUAUCAAACAGGAUUAGAUACCCCGGUAGUC